rnacentral:lncRNA from 1 species
UCCUUAGGUUUACAAGGGAAAUGCUUUUUGCACCCUGCAAAUAGAAUUAGGUUGACUUUUAUCAGUGUAAGCUAACUUGAUUAUCUACUUAUUUCUAAUAUUUAUGCACUUGCAAAAAAAACACUUGUAGAAGGCUCGCUUUGAAGACUUGCUUUGUUUGCACAGCUACUGUUGGAGAAAAUACUGGAUAGAAAGUACAACUCAGCUUUCUGUCAUUCUGGUCAAAGUGUACAAAGUAUUUAUUGCCUUUAGAGCUGGGAGUUGUGAAAGUAUGUAAAAAUAAUUUGGUUUUUGUUUGUUUGCAGUUAUUAAAUUUUAAGGCUUUUUCUUGAUUAGAUGUCUUAAAUUUGAAGCAUAGGCUAAAUAUACAAGACAUAACAAAACAGUUGUGUGUUUGGGUGUGUCUGGGCUAAGCAUUUCAGCCAAGGAUGAAUGUGUAUGUAUGUAUAUAUGCCACAAAGGGCUUUGAUGUUUCCUCCUGGUUUUUGCUUUGUUUUAUUAGAACAUUAAGGUAUUUAAAAUAUUGUAUAUUUCAUUUUUAGAUGAGCACAAAUCUAGUAUUUCUCACUAUAACUGAUAAUUUGAUUUACUGUUGUUAGUUAUUCUUUUUUUUAAAGCUUUUUUUUAUGGAAAGCUUUAUUAUUUCAGUUUAUAUGAAUACACUGUCUCUGUGUUCAGACACACCACAUGAGGGCAUCAGAUCCCAUUACAGGUGGUUGUGAGCCACCAUGUGCUUGCUGGGAAUUGAAUUCAGAACCUCUGGAAGGGCAGUCAGUGUUUUUAACAGCUGAGCCAUCCCCAUCCCCCCCCCCCACCUCUGUUGAAUUUAUUCUUGUCAGAUUGAACGUGAUCCUGUGAAAAUUACCAAGAAAUAUUUUUUGAUAUACUGAGCUACCUUGAAAAGUGGUAAUGUUACCUGUUAUUAAGAUAAAAAAUUCUUCUGAAGACUUAAAGAUCAUUUCGAGUGACCAGUUUAUAAUGGAAAUAAUUGAUAGGUUCUGGAUAUAUAUAUGUAGACACUGAGAUUAUCAACUAUCCAAACGUUGUUUGUUGGAUAUAUCUAUAACAUAACCAGGGACUAUAGACUGUUUAUAAAGAGUUUCAGUAUUAUUAAAUAUUAAAAAUUUAAUGACUAUCUCCUUGUAAAACUUUUAUUCAUAUUUUAAGGCUUGCUUGAAGUUUUUAUUUAAUCCUGUAAGUAUUUUAAGUUAGCCUAUCAGAAGUCCUAUGUUUUAAUACAUAGAUAAGCUACGGUAAAGUUGAACAACUACCCACGAUUUGGGGACUGUCUUUAUUAUAGAUCUGUUUCUGCUAAAUGAAAGCCGUUUUUGUUUUGUUGUGUGAAUUGUUGUCAUCCAGAGUUUUUUCAAUAGCUAGCUGCUGUAU